GCGACGAACCAGGGCUUGCCCUGGGGCAAAGCCGCGAACGGGUGAGUAACACGUGGGUCACCUGCCUCGAUGACUGGGACAACCCGGGGAAACUCGGGCUAAUACCGGAUGUGCCCGCAAGGGGAAAGGAAGCUUCGGCCUCCGCAUCGAGAUGGGCCCGCGGCCCAUUAGCUUGUUGGUGAGGUAAGGGCUCACCAAGGCUUCGAUGGGUAGCUGGUCUGAGAGGACGAUCAGCCACACUGGGACUGAGACACGGCCCAGACUCCUACGGGAGGCAGCAGUGGGGAAUCUUGCGCAAUGCGCGAAAGCGUGACGCAGCAACGCCGCGUGGGGGAAGAAGGCUUUCGGGUUGUAAACCCCUUUCAGUUGGGACGAAGCUCUGCCGGUGAAUAGCCGGUUGGAGUGACGGUACCUUCACAAGAAGCACCGGCUAACUACGUGCCAGCAGCCGCGGUAAUACGUAGGGUGCAAGCGUUGUCCGGAAUUAUUGGGCGUAAAGAGCGUGUAGGCGGCCCGAUUAGUCCGCUGUGAAAGUUCAGGGCUCAACCCUGGAAUGCCGGUGGAUACUGUCGGGCUAGAGUCCGGAAGGGGCGAGUGGAAUUCCUGGUGUAGCGGUGAAAUGCGCAGAUAUCAGGAGGAACACCUAUGGCGAA
rnacentral:rRNA from 1 species